rnacentral:rRNA from 1 species
CAACGAGCGCAACCCUUGUCAUUAGUUGCUACGAAAGGGCACUCUAAUGAGACUGCCGGUGACAAACCGGAGGAAGGUGGGGAUGACGUCAAGUCCUCAUGGCCCUUAUGGGUAGGGCUUCACACGUCAUACAAUGGUCGGGACAGAGGGUUGCCAACCCGCGAGGGGGAGCUAAUCUCAUAAACCCGAUCGUAGUCCGGAUUGCAGUCUGCAACUCGACUGCAUGAAGUCGGAAUCGCUAGUAAUCGCGGAUCAGCAUGUCGCGGUGAAUACGUUCCCGGGUCUU